UUGACUGGCGCCGGUGGUGCUUCGUCCGUUAGCCUCGGCGCUCCCGCCGUACUUUCUUUUCCGCUUGGCAGGGUCGCCACAUCUGCCACAGGCCGACUCCCGAAGGUGGCAGAGCCACCGCGGCGGCACACCCUGUGGGUCUUACUGCCACGCUCUCCACACGACGACGCCUCCUUCGUCCUCUCGUUGCCGCCGCCGCCGCCGCCGCCGCCGCCGCCGGGACCAGAGAGGCCGGAGACAAGAUCCUGGCGCUCUCUGAGCGUAUGGCUCUUCGACGCCGUGGGCCCAACGUCGGGACACUCGCACAGUUUGGGCAAUGAAACGGUCAGUGGCCGUCAAGCUACGUAAAAGCACAAGAGCAAAUUAUGCCUUUGAAAAAGGAAGGUGAACAUUACAGGAAUUUUGAAAAUGAAAGUCCUCCCUAGUCUGCUCUACCAGCUUGGCUCACCUGCAGAGUCUCAGACCACUCCCACCCUGACCUGCUGAAUCAGGUCCUGCAUUUAACAGGAUCCCACGGACUCAAGCCACCUGGAAAUGUGAAGAGCUGGCAGCAACCCUCCUUCGCCCUGAGCCCAGCCAAGACAACAAGUGUCACCAGGUUUGUGUGCAUGAGAACCUUUGAAAAAGCACACUUUUCUAACCUCUCAGCAAUUAUCUGCAAUUUUCUAACCUCAUCUAAAGCCAAAAUGCUCGUCAAAGUCAUCCAGCAGAAAGCUAAUAAAGACCUCAUUAUCUAGUC